rnacentral:lncRNA from 1 species
GUGAUUUGUCUGCUUAUUCCAGAGAAAGCUCUGGGCUUGUACUCCUCUCCAGCUGUCCCCAGACAGCUAGUCGCCUCCAGAAGUACUUCACCCAUGCACGGAGAGCCCAAAGGCCCACAGCCACCUACUGUGCUGUCACUGAUGGGAUCCCAGCUGCUUCUGAGGGGAAGAUCCAGGCUGCCCUGAAACUGGAACACAUUGAUGGGGUCAAUCUCGUGAGUCCGGGUCUGGGAAGAGGAGGGGUGCUUCUAGAUAUAGUACCCCUACAGAGAGGAGUCAGGGGUAUGGAUUUGGGAUGGCUGGCUCUCCUGUCCCCUAAAACAGGCAAGUGACCACUGCCUAUACUGUGGCCCUGCCCGGAGUCUAUUGGGAGCAGGGAGGGUCUGGGUAUAGCUCCCAGACCUGUGUAAGGCUUGUUCACUCUUGGCUGGCACCACAGACAGUUCCAGUGAAGGCCCCAUCCCGAAAGGACAUCCUGGAAGGUGUCAAGAAGACUCUCAGUCACUUUCGUGUGGUAGCCACAGGCUCUGGCUGUGCCCUGGUCCAGCUGCAGCCACUGACAGGUAGGUCUGGCACCCUAGCCAGCCUUUAAAACUGCACUUGAUUUGGGAGGCUGAGGCAGGUGGAUCACGAGGUCAGGAGUUCAAGACCAGUCUGGCCAAGAUGGUGAAACCCUGUUUCAACUAAAAACUACAAAAAUUAGCUGGGCACGGUGGCAGGCGCCUGUAAAACCAGCUACUCGGGAGGCUGAGGCAGGAGAAUCGCUUGAACCUGGGAGGCAGAAGUUGCAAUGAGCCAAGAUCAUGCCACUGCACUCCAGUCUAGGUGAUAGAGGAGACUUCAUCU